UACGUAGGUGGCGAGCGUUGUCCGGAAUUACUGGGUGUAAAGCGCGUGUAGGCGGGCGGCCAAGGCUGCGGUGAAAUCGCUCGGCUCAACUGGGCGGGGUCCGUGGAAACUGGUCACCUGGAGGACGGUAGAGGCGAGUGGAAUUCCCGGUGUAGUGGUGAAAUGCGUAGAGAUCGGGAGGAACACCAGUGGCGAAGGCGGCUCGCUGGGCCGGCCCUGACGCUGAGACGCGAAGGCGUGGGGAGCGAACGGG
rnacentral:rRNA from 1 species